GGUUGAUCCUGCCAGUAGUCAUAUGCUUGUCUCAAAGAUUAAGCCAUGCAUGUCCAAGUAUAAACCAAUUUAUACGGUGAAACUGCGAAAGGCUCAUUAAAUCAGUUAUAGUUUAUUUGAUACAGACUUACUACAAGGAUAACCGUGGUAACCCAGAGCUAAUACGUGCAGAAGGUAGCCUCAAAAGGGCUGCAGUAUUUAUUAGAUUAAACCAACACGACACAAGUGGUCGUUUCGAGGUGAUUCACAAUAACUAAACGGAUCGCAGGGCGCAUGCCGGCGACACAUCAAUU
rnacentral:rRNA from 1 species